rnacentral:rRNA from 1 species
ACCCCCCCGGCCGCCGCCCUACUGCACGCUCGAAUGCUUCUUUUUCACCGGCAGCUUGCUCCACCGGCACAAACAGGAGUGGCGAACGGCUCGAGUAACACGUGGGUAACCUGCCCAUCAGACGCGACACCACUUGGCAAACAGGUGCUAAUACCGUACCCACAAUCGAAACCGCAUGGUUUUGAUUUGAAAGGCGCUUUCGGGUGUCGCUGAUGGAUGGACCCGCGGUGCAUUAGCUAGUUGGUGAGGUAACGGCUCACCAAGGCGACGAUGCAUAGCCGACCUGAGAGGGUGAUCGGCCACAUUGGGACUGAGACACGGCCCAAACUCCUACGGGAGGCAGCAGUAGGGAAUCUUCGGCAAUGGACGAAAGUCUGACCGAGCAACGCCGCGUGAGUGAAGAAGGUUUUCGGAUCGUAAAACUCUGUUGUUAGAGAAGAACAAGGAUGAGAGUAACUGUUCAUCCCUUGACGGUAUCUAACCAGAAAGCCACGGCUAACUACGUGCCAGCAGCCGCGGUAAUACGUAGGUGGCAAGCGUUGUCCGGAUUUAUUGGGCGUAAAGCGAGCGCAGGCGGUUUCUUAAGUCUGAUGUGAAAGCCCCCGGCUCAACCGGGGAGGGUCAUUGGAAACUGGGAGACUUGAGUGCAGAAGAGGAGAGUGGAAUUCCAUGUGUAGCGGUGAAAUGCGUAGAUAUAUGGAGGAACACCAGUGGCGAAGGCGGCUCUCUGGUCUGUAACUGACGCUGAGGCUCGAAAGCGUGGGGAGCAAACAGGAUUAGAUACCCUGGUAGUCCACGCCGUAAACGAUGAGUGCUAAGUGUUGGAGGGUUUCCGCCCUUCAGUGCUGCAGCUAACGCAUUAAGCACUCCGCCUGGGGAGUACGACCGCAAGGUUGAAACUCAAAGGAAUUGACGGGGGCCCGCACAAGCGGUGGAGCAUGUGGUUUAAUUCGAAGCAACGCGAAGAACCUUACCAGGUCUUGACAUCCUUUGACCACUCUAGAGAUAGAGCUUCCCCUUCGGGGGCAAAGUGACAGGUGGUGCAUGGUUGUCGUCAGCUCGUGUCGUGAGAUGUUGGGUUAAGUCCCGCAACGAAGCGCAACCUUUAUUGUUAGUUGCCAUCAUUUAGUUGGGCCCUCUAGCAAGACUGCCGGUGACAAACCGGAAGGAAGGGGGGGGAUGACGUCAAAUCAUCCUGGCCCCUUUUGAACCUGGGCUAACCCCCGGGCUACAAUGGGAAGUUAAACCGAGUCCCAAAGUCCGGAGGGUUAAGCUUAUUCCUUAAAGCUUUCCCCCACUUCGGAAUUGAGGGCUCCACCUCCCCCCACUUAAAACCCGGAAAUCCCUUAAAAAUCCGGGAAAAAACCCCGCCCCGGGGGAAAAAAUUUCCCGGGCCUUUGAAACCCCCGCCCCGCCCACCCCCAAAAAUUUUGUAACCCCCCCAAUCCUGGG